GGCUACCUGGCGCAAUGGUAGCGCGUUUGGCUUCGAUCGCCAACGGCACCAAAAGGUUGCAGGUUCGAGUCCUGCGGUGGUCA